ACACCAUUGGUUGAGCGCGACGAGGUUAGACAUGUGGUGAACAGCAGCUCAAUAUAAUACUUCAGUUGUUAAUUAAACGCCGAAGUUAAAGGGUCUCUGUGAGGAAAUAUUAGUGACACAGCGCCAUUCUGCGCAAUGCCGUCGCAAACGGUUGCGGAUAUUACAGCAGUAUCCUCACACAGGGUUGGAUAUUGAAGCUACCACCAUUAGCAAUAACCUUUACUUCAGUGAAGGGUGAUUUCCUACUAGCCUGUACCGAAUUGAGUUUGCAUUAAUACUAAAAAUAAUUGUUUAAAACGAACGGAAAUAUUUUUAAAAGUUUGAUGCAGUAGAACAAGCAUUUUUUAAGCAUGAAAUAUAAAACAGAAUCGUGGAAAAAAGUGGAUACUGAAAUGUGAGAACUACCGUAAAUGCCAUUGAGAGAAGUGAUUUGCAAAAUGAGCAGCUCGAAAGUAAAUUCUCAGAUCAGUGGUGCUAAAGUCAUAAAAUUGACAACGUUUAACCUACUUUACAGCUGAACAACAAAUAAGCAAAAAAGGAACAGGAUGACAAAAACAUCAAACGGCGGCGGGGUUGACUAUUUAUAAUUCAUCGUGAAGUCAUACAUUCUACCGCUGUUGGUGUGUGUGUGUGCUGCGCUGGUCCGAGGGCGUUGGAAAACCCGCCGGCAUUCGUAAAUGCGAAGAAAUUUCAAUGCAGCCUUUCAUCCUUAUUACUUGCUGUGCUGCUGUUUUAUGCCAUGCAAUAGCACAUUGUGCCGACUGUUAUGUUAAGUUUUCGUUUGGAGUUCACAUUUUCUGCACUCUUGGCUCAGCUGCUGGUUCUGAACCGAACAUGUGCGCUCGCUCAGCUCGAUUUUGUUCUGGCCAAAGUUAUGGCCACGGGUGGCUUUGUGCUUGUGAACAUGAACGUGGAACACUGGGGAACUAGCAUGUAUAUAUUCGUAGCAUUUAUAAAACUACUCACAGGCAUCUGUGCUGUUCAGUUUGUUUUUUCCUGUGCGCUGGGACAUUAGUCAGCAGUAUUAGUUCCACAAUAUCAAAUAUCACAAAUAUGUUUAUGUGUUUUUGGAUAAUAAUUUCAUAAAAAGGUGAAUUCAAUAAUGGUUUGUUCAAUAAUUUUCCUAUGAUUUGUAUAUCGCUGUUGAUGUCAAGUGAAUGCCUAAAUGGAUCAAGUUUGUGCAGAAAUAUUAUUUUAAUUUAUCCAAAUAUCCAACGUAUAUUACACAAAGUUAUCAUGACUAUAACAAAUGAAUCAACAUCAGCAAUCAGCAAAACUUGUAUUGAUAUUCUCACCGAAUUAGAAUGUGUGGUUGGUGAUUUUCUAUUUCUUUGAUAAAGUCAUUAAAAUUUUAAAAAGUUCGAAUUGGAAUCAGAAUUAAUGAUACGAAUAAACUUGGAAUAGUGAAUUUUUCAAAGGGUGACUACUUUCUCAAAAGCUCGGAGCUUAUAUUUUUGAUCGAAAUAGCGCAUAUAUACAACAACUAAUUGCUAAUUAUUAAAUCAAUCAAUAAGAUAAUAUGUUUACUAUAUUUUCAUUGUCCUACAGUGAAAAUUUAUGUAUAAAUAAUAAAGUAAUUAUAUUAUAUUCUUAAGAACCUUUCGCAUUUCGAAAUAAACUCAUUAUUUCUCGGCAUUCUCAUCUGUUAUAUUUUUGAUCGAAAUAGCGCAUAUAUACAACAACUAAUUGCUAAUUAUUAAAUCAAUCAAUAAGAUAAUAUGUUUACUAUAUUUUCAUUGUCCUACAGUGAAAAUUUAUGUAUAAAUAAUAAAGUAAUUAUAUUAUAUUCUUAAGAACCUUUCGCAUUUCGAAAUAAACUCAUGAUUUCUCGGCAUUCUCAUCUGUAGCUAUUGAGAAAAGGUAUCAAGCACUAGUGACUACAAUUCAUAAAACUCCUACUAUUUUCACCUAAGCUGUACGUAGUAGACUGACAACUAGGUGGUAACGGUAGGAAUAACUACUGCAUUUGUCUUAAAAACAACUCUUCUGUUCAGUUGUGAGCGAACUUAACCUAAUUGCCGGAAAGUCAUUUAAGGAGGAGGUUGAUUGAUGAUAAUAUUUUAAAUAAACACUCGCACACACAUUCAAGUUCUAACUAGACCUAAUUACUCAUUCUCCGUUGGUAACAGAGGCAGUGGGCCAGCCAGCGCACGAGGUGUGAACGAUCAAUAAUAUCAUAUCACAACUUGUGACUAUAAUUGUGCAUAUCCACAUACAUAUACGAUAUUUCUUCGACUGUGCGGCCUCUUUUUGUGUGUAGUUACUGCAUGAAUAUGCGUAAAGUAAAGUAAUUCCGACGGCCUUAGAGCACUAAGUUGCUUAUAGAUAGUAAUGUGAAAAACAAACAAAACUGUUACGAAGAGGCAACACCUUUUAAUCAACAAACAUAAUCAAAGAUAAAAAAUCAAAUGUACAUUAUAUUUUACUUGUAUUCGAUUUCGGCAUAUUUCUUUACGAGUAAUGACAUUUUCAAAGUUUAUCAACCGAACGUUCAGCCGAAUUUGUGUUUGUCUAAGACAUUAUGCAUACAUAUGUAUGUAUGUACAUAUAUGCGCUCAAUUUCAGUAUCUUAUCGGUAAACUCAUACGUCUUCGACGAAAAGACACCCAUCCAAUUUCACAGAUACGACGAUACAAAUUAGUUCGAUUUCCAUGCUUUAAAUCGUAAAAACCCUUUUCCAUUCAACAAUGCAACCUUCUCUGAUUUGUUUUAAAGUCGGAGGAAUUUGCGUUGAACUCUUGGACAAACAAUUUUAUCCAAAGUUUUCGACAUUCUAUUCAUUAUCUACAAAAGCCUUCCAUGAAUACAUGGCUGCACAUAGUUCUCAGUCGAUACUGGAUCGUGGACGGAUAGAGAACCGAUAAACCAGUGCGAGUUGCUUGUUGUGUGGACAGUAAAUAAAUGUCCCGGGUGAGGAAAGCUAAGGAUCACUCAUUGUUUUGUACUAUAUUUAAUAUUUACAAUAACAUUUCUAGUUUGUGAUCAGUAAAAUUCAUUUGAAUUAACAAGUUGUGUUAGUUCUUGCGGUGAUAUAUAAAUAUAUAUGUAUGUAAAUUUUCACAACAAUUAAAAACUUUCCGUGUGGUCAGAGUGGUGGUCAGUCCUCUCGAAGGAUUUGUUGCCGUGGGCAAAGCACCGAAAGAAGUCUUGCACGCAAUCUAUUGACGUUAAGGAAAAUAUGUAUGUGCUGCAGUGUGACAGUCAUAGCAGUGAUGAAACUUUUGCCACUUUUCAUCAUGUUCAACCUCAAUCUAGUUUUCAGGUUUUCAAAGGUUUUUUCAAUUGAUUUAACAAGUAUUAUAAUACAUACAUACAUAUAUAUUCACACAACUUAUUUCUAAUUACAGAUUUCAAACAAAUGGAAGAUUUGUGUUUAUAAUAUUUGGGAAAAUAGCAACCGGACUAUAAUAAUGUUUUUGGUCUAUAAAGACAAACUAACGGUUUGAAGUGGCAUCAUUCUGUUCUACAUCCACCCUGUAGAUCCGAAUUUGUUUUGAUUUUUUGGUGACAAAUUCGGUUCUAGAGAGGUUUGUGUGGUUCAAAAUACAACGAAAUGAAGUGUUGACUAUGUGAAAUCCAAUGAAAACUAUGUACAAAACACCAAAGUUAUAUACGCAUAAUAUGUAUAAAAAAUUGUGUAGCAGGAGCAAAAGAUGAAUUUUUUAAUUAAGAUAAAACACUCCCAUUAUAUAUAACAAAGGUUGCAAAUUGUUAGUGAAUAGUGUAUGUAUGUACACUGGGGAAGCGGAAAAUUUAACAUUAUUUGUGAUGUUCCGUGUUUGGUGUUCAGAGUUGUGAGAGAGAGAGAGUGUCUAGAUAAUAAGUAAUGCGUAACUAACAUUAAAUUAAAUAAAAUUAUAUUUUAUUGUUUAACAAGCAGGAACAUAUGCAAAUAAAUGUAUUGCUUUUAGGAAA